GGACCUUCCCCAGGCUUGCCUCAGCCCGCAGAGCACUGCGAGCCCCGCGGUGCUCUCGGCCUUCCUGGCAGCGCGGCAGCCCUCGUGCUAGCUUUCCCGCCUGUUCAGCAAUAGCGUUUGCUUGGCUCAGAUGAGCCAGAAUUGGCAGGAAGGAGGUUUUCCUCAGGCAGUUAUCUCUUCAGGGCUGGGUUUCUAUAUCAAAACAAAGCAGAAAGACAAAACCUCCUUUCUCGCUGCUACUCUGUCACACGGGGUAUGAGGGACACAAACCAGGGCAGCACAAAUGUGCUUGUUCCGCCCUUCCGCUGUUGGCAUGAGCAGCGUUCCUUGGAUGCUGCUGGGAGUGACAGUUUGAGGGGUGGCUGGAGGAGGACGUGCACGAUGAAGUGAUGAGUGAUCUCUGAAAUAUCUUGCUGAAACGCUGCAAAUUUCUUCAACGCAAGGAGAUGCUUCAGUAAAAUUAGCCCCAAAGUGCAGAGCUGCGCUGAGCUCGUGGCGCUGGCCUGCUGCCCCUCGCAGUGGGCACACAGCCUUGUCUGGGGCCCUUGGGCCCCUCACAGCUGAGCUGCAGGCCGGGGGGGCACGCUGCCACCGCUUGGGUGGGUGUUCUGCCCGUGUCAGACCGAGAGAAGCAUCCAUACCCCAAAACAGAGCAAACAAACAGCAAAGCCUUCUCUGCACAAACUAGAGGCUUACGCAACCUCUUGGAAAAUGAUGGGUGUUCCAAACCAGCAAAAGAUUCCUGGCACAGCUGCAGAGCUAGGUCUGCCAUCUUAUGGAGCCUGAAUGGUACUACCAAAUAACAGAAUGUGGAACUACGUGUUCAAAUCAGGAGAAUAGUUUGCAUUUUCUCCUUUUCAGGAGAGCUUGUUGGGUCAGAUAUCCAAACUGGAUCCCUGCAUGUGUAUCAUAUUCGUCUGACCUGCGAGGCCACCCACAGACCCAUGUGCUACGGAUCGUUUCAGCUGUCCCCACAUGAAGUCAGCUGCAGCUGGCCCAAGGCCCGGCUGGAUUUGAUCUGUUUCAGAGGGAAGCAGUGAGGUGUGACUGUGGCACGCUGUUUGUUGCUCUUCAGUCUGGGACCAUGCAGUGGAGAAAUUGCAGCUGUUCCUUUGCAGGGGCAACUUUGCUCCUUCAACUGAAUUUAUUCUCUCCAGCUUUGUCCUGCAUGGUGGUGACUGUAGUUUCCAGACCAGGGAGAGUCUUGAAGGCGACAUUUGUACAGUGCUGGGCCUUAGCUAGUAACUGCUGGAUGUGAGAUGGUUUUACAUUUGUGGCAUAGAUAAUCUGCAACACAAAUAAUCUAAUCAUAGAUAAUUGAGAAUCAGUGCCAUGGUUGUUACAAGCCUGCUUUAGCUUCUGAUCCUGAGCAGGCUGUUAUUUUACUGCCGUUCAAGGAGCAGUAUCAGCUUGAGGUAUUCCUGCUUUCCUUUUUUGUUCUCUUCUGUCUGUGGCAUGCCACCCAUUCAGUUGUAGGAGCACACCUUGUCAAAACAAUGUUUUUUUUAGAAUCAGCUCCCUGGCUUAGUGCUGACUUUUUAAUGAGCCGUACUUAAGAAGCCCAACAAAUAGCUUUGCUGGCACCAAUGAGGAGCAGAGGGGGUAUUAGGAAGCUUUAAGCUACUGUUACCAUUUUUUAUUGUGAAACAGUAGCCACAGGGCAGCUAUACUCCUCUAAUUCCGCUAAUAGCUCUAAUAGCUAUAUGAUUGUAAAUUAGGAGUAAUCUCAAGUAAAAGCAAUACUUCCGUGAUCAUCGACUGUGUUUGCUCUGAGAAGGUGAAAUGUUGAAAAAUGGUGGGAGGUUAAGUGGAGAUUUGAGGGGAGGCUUUUUCUUCCUUGCAAAGAAAAUAAUUUAGGAAUGGCAUUAAUGAAUAGAACAAUUUCAUUUUAGCACAUGAAAACUAUAAUCUCUUUGUUUUAGUACUUAAUCAUCAUUUAGAAUACUGCAGGGCUGCAAAAUUACAAACCACACAAAGUACCCUGUACAAACUAAGUGGCUUCACCAAGACACAUAAGGCUGUGCGCUUCAUGGCUU
rnacentral:lncRNA from 1 species